rnacentral:rRNA from 1 species
CUACGGGUGGCAGCAGUGGGGAAUAUUGCACAAUGGACGAAAGUCUGAUGCAGCAACGCCGCGUGGAGGAUGACACAUUUCGGUGCGUAAACUCCUUUUAUAUAGGAAGAUAAUGACGGUACUAUAUGAAUAAGCGCCGGCUAACUCCGUGCCAGCAGCCGCGGUAAUACGGAGGGCGCAAGCGUUACUCGGAAUCACUGGGCGUAAAGAGCGUGUAGGCGGCUAGAUAAGUCAGGAGUGAAAUCCUAUGGCUCAACCAUAGAACUGCUCUUGAAACUGUCUACCUAGAAUAUGGGAGAGGUAGAUGGAAUUUCUGGUGUAGGGGUAAAAUCCGUAGAGAUCAGAAGGAAUACCGAUUGCGAAGGCGAUCUACUGGAACAUUAUUGACGCUGAGACGCGAAAGCGUGGGGAGCAAACAGGAUUAGAUACCCGUGUAGUC